AGAGGAACCGGCCCAGUGUUAGGGGAUUAAUUAAGAAACCCAUCUGUACAAGUGACUAAUCCCAUAUAUAUCAUCCACAGACCUGCACAGCUGGGAUCUCAUCGCUCCGGACUGGGGAGAAGGAGAAGGUGCCAUACCUAUCACACUGAGUGGAGGAGGACAAGGGGCUCUUGUUGCUUGAGGACUACAUUGGUAGAGCUUCGGAGCCGAACUGAGGAUUUAGAUUUUAUUUACUGGAGCAGAGCAUAUAAAAAUGCC
rnacentral:lncRNA from 1 species